rnacentral:lncRNA from 1 species
CUUGUCAGGCUGGGGUUUUCUCUCGGUUUGGGCGCUGAUCUCUAGGCUGGCCAGGUCCAUACCCAGUAACUCCGCGAUCCGCUCCCGCCCAUAGAUGUCGCCGUAUUUCUCCAGCACCUGCAGAGGGCGGGGGGCAGAGGGAACCCCCAGGGCAAAUGCAAAGGGAGAAAGCCCUGGAUCCCCCCCCAGCCAGCCCGGCCCCUGCCCUGGCACCCCCUGGGGGAACAGCCCCAUGUCCCCCUUCCCCAUGCAGCGGCCACGUGGGACCAGCAGCCCCUGGGGCCAGAUGGGAGCCGGCGCCCCCUGGGGGAAAGGUCCCGUGCCCCGCCCUGGGGCAGGAUGGGACCGACGCCCCCUGGGGGAAAGGCCCUGUGCCCUGCUCUGGGGCCGGACAGGGCCGGCGCCCCCUGGGGGAAAGGCCACGUGCCCCACCUUGGGGCCGGAUGGGACAGGUGCCCCCUGGGGGAAAGGCCCUGCGCCCUGCCCUGGGGCCAGAUGGGACCGGCGCCCCCUGGGGGAAAGGCCCUGUGCCCCGCCCUGGGGCCGGAUGGGACUGGCGCCCCCUGGGGGAAAAGCCCUGUGCCCUGCUCUGGGGCCGGAUGGGACAGGUGCCCCCUGGGGGAAAAGCCCUGUGCCCUGCUCUGGGGCCGGACGGGGCCGGCGCCUCCUGGGUGAAAGGCCCCGUGCCCCACCCUGGGGCCGGAUGGGACCGGCGCCCCCUGGGGGAAAGGCCCCGUGCUCCACCCUGGGGCCGGAUGGGACCGGCACCCCCUGGGGGAAAGGCCCCGUGCUCCACCCUGGGGCCGGAUGGGACCGGCACCCCCUGGGGGAAAGGCCCCGUGCCCCGCCCUGGGGUAGGAUGGGACCGGCACCCCCUGGGGGAAAGGCCCUGUACCCUGACCUGGGGCAGGAUGGGACCGGCGCCCCCUGGGGGAAAGGCCCCGUGCCCCAUCCUGGGGCCAAAUGGGACCGGCGCCCCCUGGGGAAAAGGCCCCGUGCUCCACCCUGGGGCCAGAUGGGACCGGCGCCCCCUGGGGGAAAGGCCCCGUGCUCCACCCUGGGGCCGGAUGGGACCGGCACCCCCUGGGGGAAAGGCCCCGUGCUCCACCCUGGGGCCGGAUGGGACCGGCACCCCCUGGGGGAAAGGCCCCGUGCCCCGCCCUGGGGUAGGAUGGGACCGGCACCCCCUGGGGGAAAGGCCCUGUACCCUGACCUGGGGCAGGAUGGGACCGGCGCCCCCUGGGGAAAAGGCCCCAUGCCCCACCCUGGGGCCGGAUGGGACCGGCACCCCCUGGGGGAAAGGCCCUGUGCUCCACCCUGGGGCCAGAUGGGACCGGGGCCCCCUGGGGGAAAGGCCCUGUGCUCCACCCUGGGGCCGGAUGGGAC